GCGAGGGGUUAUACCGAACACCCGGAACAGAGCACAGCGGAGCGGAUCAUAGCAGAAUAAAUUCAGCAGUAAGAGGAAAUGUGAUGCGGUUCUUUAAUCUCAGGCAGCGACUCUGAUUUACUCCAUAAAAGGAAACUGAUGGAGGAGGUGAUGGUGUGUGAUGGAGUACGCUGGUGUUCCAUGGUGUGUGAACAUUUAUAUUUUAGAGAAUGUCUGUGUUAAAAUCUGGGCGUUGGUGCUGGAUUGAGAAAAAAAGAGAGAGCGAGAAAGAGAGAAUGCCGGUGUUCAAUAGUGAUAGAUAGAUAGAUAGAUAGAUAGAUAGAUAGAUAGAUAAGGCGUUAUAGAUAGAUAACACACUUGUUAAAAAUGGAACUCUGUAGCUUUAUUUAUGAAAUAUUACCUGUAAACAUAAAUAAACAAAUCCACAGUGAGUUAUAAGAAACUAGUGGUGCGAGGAUGCUGCUAUGCUGUCAUGAUAACGCAGUGUGAAUAGAAAUAAAAUAAAAUAAAACAGUUUAUUAACCUGUGGAUUUAAUUCUGUUCCUUUUAUAAAAAUAAACAUUAUAUGAGGAAAGUUUGUAUGAACGCAGAUUCACAGUAAGAAGAAUUUCAAGGACAUUCAAUAAAUCAUGAUCAGUAGAUACGUUCCAGUCUUCUGUGGCCGGACGGUCACGAACACUCUUGAAAGGUUCUCUAGGAGAACCCUACCCAAAGUAUGUCCAUAUCAGAAAAACCCUUUUAGGAAGCUAUAGUAACAGCCCUUAAUUAUCAUCAUAACGACCCUCUAAAGAACCCUUGAACCAAGUACUAGGAAGUUAUUCUGAAGAAAAUAUUUCCUGUGUUCAGAGCUGCUUUACUGCUCGCCACGUUCCGGUUGUUCACAUCACGUACCUGUAGUUCACGUCAGAGUUUUCUAGAGUAGAAGCGUCCAAGAUGGGCUUCCUCAAUAACAUCUAUAAACACAAACACUCGCCUUUUAACCCGAAAAAUAAAAAGACUAACAUGAUGAUAUCUGACUGAGAAGAUGGCGAGUGUUGAAUGUAAAUCUCAAUCUAAAACUGUAGAUUACAGUCCUAACGGUAACGAUCUCAUUAAUCACUGGGUUUAACUGAACAAAAUGGCUUCCUCGCUCGUUAUUCAGCGGCGUAUAGAACAGCACUUGAUCCAGCGCGGACUGUUAUUGUGCAGUUGGUGUUGUUUUUAAUACCAUGG